rnacentral:rRNA from 1 species
AUACGGAGGAUGCGAGCGUUAUCCGGAUUUAUUGGGUUUAAAGGGAGCGUAGGUGGGAUAUUAAGUCAGCUGUGAAAGUUUGGGGCUCAACCUUAAAAUUGCAGUUGAUACUGGUUUCCUUGAGUACGGUACAGGUGGGCGGAAUUCGUGGUGUAGCGGUGAAAUGCUUAGAUAUCACGAAGAACUCCGAUCGCGAAGGCAGCUCACCUGGUCGGAACUGACACUGAUGCUCGAAAGGGCGGGUAUCAAACAGGAUUAGAUACCCUGGUAGUCCGCACAGUAAACGAUGAAUACUCGCUGUUUGCGAUACACGGUAAGCGGCCAAGCGAAAGCGUUAAGUAUUCCACCUGGGGAGUACGCCGGCAACGGUGAAACUCAAAGGAAUUGACGGGG